rnacentral:rRNA from 1 species
AGCGAACGCUGGCGGCAGGCCUAACACAUGCAAGUCGAGCGCACCCUUCGGGGCGAGCGGCGGACGGGUUAGUAACGCGUGGGAAUGUACCCUUUUCUACGGAAUAGCCAUUGGAAACGAUGAGUAAUACCGUAUACGCCCUUUGGGGGAAAGAUUUAUCGGAGAAGGAUCAGCCCGCGUUAGAUUAGAUAGUUGGUGGGGUAAUGGCCUACCAAGUCUACGAUCUAUAGCUGGUUUUAGAGGAUGAUCAGCAACACUGGGACUGAGACACGGCCCAGACUCCUACGGGAGGCAGCAGUGGGGAAUCUUAGACAAUGGGCGCAAGCCUGAUCUAGCCAUGCCGCGUGAGUGAAGAAGACCUUAGGGUCGUAAAGCUCUUUCGCCAGGGAUGAUAAUGACAGUACCUGGUAAAGAAACCCCGGCUAACUCCGUGCCAGCAGCCGCGGUAAUACGGAGGGGGUUAGCGUUGUUCGGAAUUACUGGGCGUAAAGCGCACGUAGGCGGAUUAGAAAGUAUGGGGUGAAAUCCCAGGGCUCAACCCUGGAACUGCCUCAUAAACUCCUAAUCUAGAGUUCGAGAGAGGUGAGUGGAAUUCCGAGUGUAGAGGUGAAAUUCGUA